rnacentral:rRNA from 1 species
UACGGGGGAGCAAGCGUUGUUCGGAUUUACUGGGCGUAAAGGGCGCGUAGGCGGCGCCGCAAGUCGACUGUGAAAUCUCCGGGCUUAACCCGGAAAGGUCAGCCGAUACUGCGGGGCUAGAGUGCAGAAGGGGCAACUGGAAUUCUCGGUGUAGCGGUGAAAUGCGUAGAUAUCGAGAGGAACACCUGCGGCGAAGGCGGGUGCUGGGCUGACACUGACGCUGAUGCGCGAAAGCUAGGGGAGCAAACAGG